rnacentral:lncRNA from 1 species
AUCCAAAGCAAUUGAAAAUGGAUUUGUUGGACUACGGAAACUCAUUGUUGGCAAUCUUUAUCUUUAUGGCUCCAACUCCUAGCAUAAGACACCCCAACAUGUUUAUUAAAUAAACUUUUAUGUUCUUUUGAUUUAAUAUUGAGUGUGUUUUGAAUUUGAUGCUAAAAUUGGGUCAAGAGGCAGUUCCAGGCCUCCCAGCAAAACGUUAAAUGUUGCCAGAGUCCUUUAGAACACUGCUGGAGUGUGAGCAUUGUGCUCACAGCUCAGCAAGGAUGUUUCCAGAAAGACAAACAAAGAUACAGAGAUUUGGGAGAAUUAUCUGGGCAACUCAUGGAAAAACAACAAGGAACAAUGACCUUGAGGAAAAGAAAGGGCACAGUGCUAAUCGCAGAGCAAAGAAAUGUCACCUGGUAAGUCCUCAUCCUUCUCUUGUGACUCUCCCACCUGUCCAGCCCUCCAGCCUGUUGUUACAUAUGUAUCCAUGUACUUUGUGGUUUGCUCCUAGGGCAUUUCUCGCACUUCUGCUUGCUUAGUUUAUCCUUGACUUGGAGAAGAUGAAGGUAUAAAACACUGCCUCUGUGGAAGAACAUUAUAGCUUUAUGAAGCCCAUGCGUCAUGUAGCUUUGGCCCUGA